rnacentral:rRNA from 1 species
AACGAACGCUGGCGGCAGGCUUAACACAUGCAAGUCGAACGCAUGCCUUCGGGCAUGAGUGGCAGACGGGUGAGUAACUCGUGGGAACCUACCCCUUGGUACGGGAUAGCUCCGGGAAACUGGAGAUAAUACCGUAUGUGUCCUGAGGGACAAAGAUUCAUCGCCAAGGGAUGGGCCCGCGUCGGAUUAGCUAGUUGGUGGGGUAACGGCCUACCAAGGCGACGAUCCGUAGCUGGUCUAAGAGGAUGAUCAGCCACAUUGGGACUGAGACACGGCCCAAACUCCUACGGGAGGCAGCAGUGGGGAAUAUUGGACAAUGGGCGCAAGCCUGAUCCAGCCAUGCCGCGUGAGUGAUGAAGGCCCUAGGGUUGUAAAGCUCUUUCACCGGUGACGAUAAUGACGGUAACCGGAGAAGAAGCCCCGGCUAACUUCGUG